ACAACAAAAAAUAAAAUUAAGAGUGAAGAAACAAAAUCAAAAACAAAAGUUGAAGCACAAAAAAUAUCAAGUCAUGGGUUCCUUAAUGUCUGGAUGGGAUUCCCCGGUUCAAGAUCAAAAAUAUGUAAAAUUGAUGAGAAACAAGUCACUAACGAAAGAGGGCAUUGAAGAUUAUUGGAAACUCAGGAAGAAAACAGAGGAAGAACAUCUUAAAGCUGUUUCUCCUAGAGUUCAGGAUAUAAUUAAUGAAGAAUCUGCUCCAAAUGAGCUUUAAAA